UAGGGAAUCUUCGGCAAUGGACGGAAGUCUGACCGAGCAACGCCGCGUGAGUGAAGAAGGUUUUCGGAUCGUAAAGCUCUGUUGUAAGAGAAGAACGAGUGUGAGAGUGGAAAGUUCACACUGUGACGGUAUCUUACCAGAAAGGGACGGCUAACUACGUGCCAGCAGCCGCGGUAAUACGUAGGUCCCGAGCGUUGUCCGGAUUUAUUGGGCGUAAAGCGAGCGCAGGCGGUUAGAUAAGUCUGAAGUUAAAGGCUGUGGCUUAACCAUAGUAGGCUUUGGAAACUGUUUAACUUGAGUGCAAGAGGGGAGAGUGGAAUUCCAUGUGUAGCGGUGAAAUGCGUAGAUAUAUGGAGGAACACCGGUGGCGAAAGCGGCUCUCUGGCUUGUAACUGACGCUGAGGCUCGAAAGCGUGGGAAGCAAACAGGAUUAGAUACCCUGGUAGUCCACGCUGUAAACGAUGAGUGCUAGGUGUUAGACCCUUUCCGGGGUUUAGUGCCGUAGCUAACGCAUUAAGCACUCCGCCUGGGGAGUACGACCGCAAGGUUG
rnacentral:rRNA from 1 species